GAUGAACGCUGGCGGCGUGCCUAAUACAUGCAAGUCGAGCGAACAGACGAGGAGCUUGCUCCUCUGACGUUAGCGGCGGACGGGUGAGUAACACGUGGAUAACCUACCUAUAAGACUGGGAUAACUUCGGAAACCGGAGCUAAUACCGGAUAAUAUAUUGAACCGCAUGGUUCAAUAGUGAAAGACGGUUUUGCUGUCACUUAUAGAUGGAUCCGCGCCGCAUUAGCUAGUUGGUAAGGUAACGGCUUACCAAGGCAACGAUGCGUAGCCGACCUGAGAGGGUGAUCGGCCACACUGGAACUGAGACACGGUCCAGACUCCUACGGGAGGCAGCAGUAGGGAAUCUUCCGCAAUGGGCGAAAGCCUGACGGAGCAACGCCGCGUGAGUGAUGAAGGUCUUCGGAUCGUAAAACUCUGUUAUUAGGGAAGAACAAAUGUGUAAGUAACUAUGCACGUCUUGACGGUACCUAAUCAGAAAGCCACGGCUAACUACGU
rnacentral:rRNA from 1 species